rnacentral:rRNA from 1 species
CAGUCGCCGCGGGAAUACAGAGGGUGCGAGCGUUAAUCGGAUUUACUGGGCGUAAAGCGUGCGUAGGCGGCUUCUUAAGUCGGAUGUGAAAUCCCUGAGCUUAACUUAGGAAUUGCAUUCGAUACUGGGAAGCUAGAGUAUGGGAGAGGAUGGUAGAAUUCCAGGUGUAGCGGUGAAAUGCGUAGAGAUCUGGAGGAAUACCGAUGGCGAAGGCGGCCCCCUGGACAAAGACUGACGCUCAGGUGCGAAAGCGUGGGGAGCAAACAGGAUUAGAUACCCCCGUAGUCCCUGUCUCUUAUAA